rnacentral:piRNA from 1 species
UCUGAAAGAACGAGGUGCUAAGCAUGAAGCC